AGCCGGCCUGAGAGGGUGACCGGCCACACUGGGACUGAGACACUGCCCAGACUCCUACGGGAGGCUGCAGUCGAGAAUCUUCCACAAUGGGCGAAAGCCUGAUGGAGCGACGCCGCGUGCAGGAUGAAGGUUUUCGGAUUGUAAACUGCUUUUAUUAGGAGAGAAAACUCAUAGGUUAAUAUCCUGUGAGCUGACGGUACCUAAUGAAUAAGCCACGGCCAACUCCGUGCCAGCAGCCGCGGUAAUACGGAGGUGGCAAGCGUUACUCGGAAUUAUUGGGUGUAAAGGGCAAGUAGGCGGCUCAUUAAGCGAGGGGUGAAAUCUAUCGACUCAAUCGGUAAACUGCCUUUCGAACUGGUAAGCUUGAGGACGGAAGAGGGAAAUGGAAUUAGCGGUGUAAGGGUGAAAUCUGUAGAUAUCGCUAAGAACACCAGCGGCGAAGGCGAUUUCCUGGUCCGUUUCUGACGCUAAAUUGCGAAAGCUAGGGUAGCAAACAGAAUUAGAUACUCUGGUAGUCCUAGCUGUAAACGAUGAGUACUGGGUGUUGGACCUUUUGGUUCAGUGUCGCAGCUAACGCGUUAAGUACUCCACCUGGGGACUACGGUCGCAAGGCUAAAACUCAAAGGAAUUGACGGGGACCCGCACAAGCGGUGGAACAUGUGGUUUAAUUCGAUGCUACGCGAAGAACCUCACCUGGGCUUGACAUGUAGGCAGUAGUGAAAUGAAAGUGGAACGAACCGUCAAAUCGGUAACCUACACAGGUGCUGCAUGGCUGUCGUCAGCUCGUGUCGUGAGAUGUUGGGUUAAGUCCCGCAACGAGCGCAACCAUUGCCCCAUGUUGCUACCACAUUUAUACCUUCGGGUUAAAUGUGCGCACUCUUGGGGGACUGCCCGGGAUAACCGGGAGGAAGGUGGAGAUGACGUCAAGUCAGUACGGCCUUUAUGCCCAGGGCUACACACGUGUUACAAUGGCUGGUACAAAGGGUUGCCAACCCGCGAGGGGGAGCUAAUCUCAAAAAACCAGCCUCAGUUCGGAUUGGAGUCUGAAAUUCGACUCCAUGAAGCUGGAAUCGCUAGUAAUGGAAGAUCAGCAUGCUUCCGUGAAUACGUUCCCGGGUCUUGUACACACCGCCCGUCAAGCGAUGAAAGCUGGGGGUACCCGAAGUCCUAUGUAGAUAGGCCGAAGGUAAAACUGGUGAUUGGCGCUAAGUCGUAACAAGGUA
rnacentral:rRNA from 1 species